AUUGAACGCUGGCGGCAGGCCUAACACAUGCAAGUCGAACGGUAGCACGGAGAGCUUGCUCUCGGGUGACGAGUGGCGGACGGGUGAGUAAUGUCUGGGAAACUGCCUGAUGGAGGGGGAUAACUACUGGAAACGGUAGCUAAUACCGCAUAACGUCGCAAGACCAAAGAGGGGGACCUUCGGGCCUCUUGCCAUCAGAUGUGCCCAGAUGGGAUUAGCUAGUAGGUGGGGUAACGGCUCACCUAGGCGACGAUCCCUAGCUGGUCUGAGAGGAUGACCAGCCACACUGGAACUGAGACACGGUCCAGACUCCUACGGGAGGCAGCAGUGGGGAAUAUUGCACAAUGGGCGCAAGCCUGAUGCAGCCAUGCCGCGUGUAUGAAGAAGGCCUUCGGGUUGUAAAGUACUUUCAGCGGGGAGGAAGGUGUUGUGGUUAAUAACCGCAGCAAUUGACGUUACCCGCAGAAGAAGCACCGGCUAA
rnacentral:rRNA from 1 species